CGUCUAUAUUCUAUUAAUAGAAAAGAUCCAAGUUAACUGUUUGACAUUUAUAUAUAAUUUAUAUAUUCACAACAAUUGUUUUUCUUUCAAUUCUUUGCAACAAAAGUUUUUCGUUUGUUUUUUACCAAUAAAAUUCAUAAAAUUUUGAUAAAAUGGCAUUUAAGUCUUUGUAACUGAUAAAACGCCUCAAUCAUUUUUUCAAUUGAAG
rnacentral:lncRNA from 1 species